AUUGAACGCUGGCGGCAGGCCUAACACAUGCAAGUCGAGCGGAUCGGCGGACGGGUGAGUAAUGCCUAGGAAUCUGCCUGGUAGAGGGGGAUAACGUCCGGAAACAGGCGCUAAUACCGCAUACUCGCCUAUGAGCCUAGGUCGGAUUAGCUAGUUGGGGGGGAAAAGGCCUAACCAGGCGACGAUCCGUAACUGGUCUGAGAGGAUGAUCGGCCACACUUGAACUGAGACACGGUCCAUACUCCUACGGGAGGCAGCAGUGGGGAAUAUUGGACAAUGGGCGAAAGCCUGAUCCAGCCAUGCCGCGUGUGUGAAGAAGGUCUUCGGAUUGUAAAGCACUUUAAGUUGGGAGGCGUUACCAACAGAAUAAGCACCGGCUAACUUCGUGCCAGCAGCCGCGGUAAUUC
rnacentral:rRNA from 1 species